GACCCCUUAGCUCAGUGGUAGAGCGUCGCAUUCCAGCACAGAACCUUCCAAGUAUCGCGAAGGCCGUCCGUUCAAUCCGGGCAGGGGUCA